AGCGAACGCUGGCGGCAGGCCUAACACAUGCAAGUCGAACGAACUCUUCGGAGUUAGUGGCGGACGGGUGAGUAACACGUGGGAACGUGCCUUUAGGUUCGGAAUAACUCAGGGAAACUUGUGCUAAUACCGAAUGUGCCCUUCGGGGGAAAGAUUUAUCGCCUUUAGAGCGGCCCGCGUCUGAUUAGCUAGUUGGUGAGGUAAAGGCUCACCAAGGCGACGAUCAGUAGCCGGUCUGAGAGGAUGAUCAGCCACAUUGGGACUGAGACACGGCCCAAACUCCUACGGGAGGCAGCAGUGGGGAAUCUUGCGCAAUGGGCGAAAGCCUGACGCAGCCAUGCCGCGUGAAUGAUGAAGGUCUUAGGAUUGUAAAAUUCUUUCACCGGGGACGAUAAUGACGGUACCCGGAGAAGAAGCCCCGGCUAACUUCGUG
rnacentral:rRNA from 1 species